AGAGAUUGAACAUAAGAGUUUGAUCCUGGCUCAGAUUGAACGCUGGCGGCAUGCUUUACACAUGCAAGUCGGACGGCAGCACAGAGAAGCUUGCUUCUCGGGUGGCGAGUGGCGAACGGGUGAGUAACAUAUCGGAACGUACCGAGUAGUGGGGGAUAACUGAUCGAAAGAUCAGCUAAUACCGCAUACGUCUUGAGAGAGAAAGCAGGGGACCUUUGGGCCUUGCGCUAUUCGAGCGGCCGAUAUCUGAUUAGCUAGUUGGUGGGGUAAAGGCCUACCAAGGCGACGAUCAGUAGCGGGUCUGAGAGGAUGAU
rnacentral:rRNA from 1 species